rnacentral:rRNA from 5 species
AGCGAACGCUGGCGGCAGGCUUAACACAUGCAAGUCGAGCGGGCGUAGCAAUACGUCAGCGGCAGACGGGUGAGUAACGCGUGGGAACGUACCUUUUGGUUCGGAACAACACAGGGAAACUUGUGCUAAUACCGGAUAAGCCCUUACGGGGAAAGAUUUAUCGCCGAAAGAUCGGCCCGCGUCUGAUUAGCUAGUUGGUAGGGUAAUGGCCUACCAAGGCGACGAUCAGUAGCUGGUCUGAGAGGAUGAUCAGCCACAUUGGGACUGAGACACGGCCCAAACUCCUACGGGAGGCAGCAGUGGGGAAUAUUGGACAAUGGGGGCAACCCUGAUCCAGCCAUGCCGCGUGAGUGAUGAAGGCCCUAGGGUUGUAAAGCUCUUUUGUGCGGGAAGAUAAUGACGGUACCGCAAGAAUAAGCCCCGGCUAACUUCGUGC